rnacentral:rRNA from 1 species
UAGGGAAUCUUCCGCAAUGGACGAAAGUCUGACGGAGCGACGCCGCGUGAGCGAAGAAGGUCUUCGGAUCGUAAAGCUCUGUUGUUAGGGAAGAAGAAGUACCGUUCGAAUAGGGCGGUACGGUGACGGUACCUAACGAGAAAGCCCCGGCUAACUACGUGCCAGCAGCCGCGGUAAUACGUAGGGGGCGAGCGUUGUCCGGAAUUAUUGGGCGUAAAGCGCGCGCAGGCGGUCCCUUAAGUCUGAUGUGAAAGCCCACGGCUCAACCGUGGAGGGUCAUUGGAAACUGGGGGACUUGAGUGCAGAAGAGGAGAGCGGAAUUCCACGUGUAGCGGUGAAAUGCGUAGAGAUGUGGAGGAACACCAGUGGCGAAGGCGGCUCUCUGGUCUGUAACUGACGCUGAGGCGCGAAAGCGUGGGGAGCAAACAGGAUUAGAUACCCUGGUAGUCCACGCCGUAAACGAUGAGUGCUAAGUGUUAGAGGGGUUAAACCCUUUAGUGCUGUAGCUAACGCGUU